ACGUGAAACACGCCCUUCACUCCCCCAACACAAAAGCCCGUUGACAGAAGUCAACCUCAGUUCCCGAUGAUGUGAGGACUGGUGUCCAUACGUUUAAAAGGGCUAAUUUUAAUUAACAUGGAGGUGACGAUCGCCACACUGGAAAGAUGAAUUUAUACUAGACCAGCCAGAAUUCAGUGUGAGCUGAUUAUGGCAAAAUGGUAUGAUCUUUGAACUCUUAUUCACUAAAGAAGAAGUGAUACAUCGUAAAAGUCGAGUUAACAGCUGCAGUUGUUGCCUGGGAAAGGACAGACAAUCUCCUAAUCAGAACGACAGGGUACAACAUAUCCACCCUACAACACUACGACGAGACAGAUUCUACAAAGGACAAGGGGGAUCUCUGCUGGGCAAACCAGUCCUCCAUCUUUGAUCCAUCUAUCGAAGUGCAGCUCAGUGUGUUGUAUCUGAGCGGUUUGGAUCUUAUCCUGGGUCAGAACUACGCAGUGCGAGGGGACCAAGUCUUGGUCCUAGGUGUUGCAUCUGAGAGAUUUGGAUCUUAUCGAUAGGACCAGGUCAUGCUAGAGACCCAGCACUUUGUCUGCUACCCAGAGCUCAAUAGUGACUAGAUCAAGUGUAAUGCCAGGGACUGCAUCUGGGAGGCAUUUAUCAUUGAAGGUGUCCUGUGGUGUUACUACCCUGAGGACUAUGGUUGCACCUCUACAAUGGUGACAGAGCAGCCAUCCUGCUGGAGCUUCAACCUCAGCAAAAAGCUAAACCAGUGGUCACCAACCGGUCAAUCGCGAUCGACUUGUCGAUCUCCAAGGCAUUUCUAGUCAAACACCAAACAUUUCUAUAAAAAAAAAACAAUAAAGCCCUGUGUACAUAUUUUUUUUAUUCGUCUCGGGCUGUUGGUGGUUGGUGCAGCCAGGCAAACUGUUUCCAUUUCAUGUGUCUGAAGGUACAAACUCUGCCUUCCUGGUGGGCCUGGUGAGGAAAUCAAGUGCGCUAUGCUACCGCUGGCCAAUCAGAUUGCUCAGAUGACAGAGUCUGCAGUAACAUACAGGCAUAAAAGAAAGCUACUAUGAGAUUUCAAAAUGCUUAAAACCAUGACUAGAGAGAGACUGUCAACGAGUACAACAAAGAGCUGCUGUUUUUAUGAGUGAGUUUGCAUUCAACACUUUUAUAAGACAUAAAAUGCGCUUCCUAUUUCCACUCAGCGCUACAACAAGCAGUGCAGCAGUAAUGAAUGAGUAGGAAAGUGUAUCUAUAGGCUUGCGUUGUUGUUAUUGUUGGCAGCUUGGGUCUUUUUUAAUAUCAAGAAAUAUUCACUUGGUCUGUUCAUAGGAGUAACAACAUGAAUUUGUGCAUGAGGCAGAAAUAAUGCGGUGCGACUUGAGUUUCACCAUCAGCUGGAAGACGGUGUCCCUUUUUGGUCAGUGUCAGUGGAGGAAAGGGAGAGCGGAGACUGAACAUCAAAUGCAGGCACCAUCAGCCCAGUAAAAUAAAAAGCAAAUGAUUUUAAUCUAUGCUCACUCAGCUAUGCCUCACAAGUAAUACAACAAUGGAUCUAUUACUGGUGUGAUCAUAUAGCCUACCACAAAUGUUGAAAUAUAAUUUCAAGAAUUGUCCCGAACAACAAUGCAUUGGCAGGUAAAUUCAAGCAAAGCCAAUAUGCGGUGAUACUGUAUUGGGCCUAUAGCUUACUGCACAAACCUCAUUGCUAUAGUACUGUUUUUAAUUGGUUAAUGUUGCAUAGGCUUACAUUUUUUAAGUAAUGUUAAUAAAAAAUCCGAGCGGUAGAUCUUGGCAUGUAUUUUGACUUAGAAAGUGAUCUUGAUUCAGAAAAGGUUGGUGACCACUGCGCUAAACGCUAAAGACUGGAAUCUGCAAACAUAGAUACUCUCCAAGUUAAGCUCAAAUAUCACAGUGUACUCCUGCUGCAGUUUACGGUUCCUUCUUAUGAUUGGAAUGACUCAGUUACUGUCACAUGGCACACAUCUCUCUCUCAAUUCAAUUCAAUUACAAUUAAGUGCUUUAUUGGCAUGGGAAAAGUUUACAUUGCCAAUGCUAGUGAAUUAGAUAAUUAACAAAAGUGAAAUAAUGUACAUUACACUCACAAAAGUGACAAAAUAAUAAAGAUUUUUCAAAUGUCAUAUUAUGUCUAUAUACAAUGUUGUAACGAUGCAAAUAGUUAACGUAC